UCUCAUGGCCCUUAUGUCCCAGGGCUACACACGUGCUACAAUGGGUGGUACAAAGAGAUGCAAUCUCGCAAGAGCAAGCAAACCUCAAAAAGCCAUCCUCAGUUCGGAUUGGAGUCUGCAACUCGACUCCAUGAAGUCGGGAUCGCUAGUAAUCGCGGAUCAGCACGCCGCGGUGAAUACGUUCCCGGGCCUU
rnacentral:rRNA from 1 species